GCAGACACAUUCCAGCCAAUCAGCAGCAGACCCUCCCUCCCAGACCCUCCCACAUCCUGGACAGCAUCCAUUGUGAAGCUGCAUUCUUAGUGAACUGUCCAGGAACUGGGAGGGUCUGGGAGGGAGGGUCUGCUGCUGAUUGGCUGGAAUGUGCCA
rnacentral:miRNA from 1 species